UACAUGGGGUGCAAACGUUGCUCGGAAUUAUUGGGCGUAAAGCGCACGUAGGCGGUUUGUUAAGUCGGACGUGAAAUCCCUCGGCUCAACUGAGGAAGUGCAUCCGAAACUGGCAGGCUUGAGUACUAAAGAGGGUCGCGGAAUUCCCGGUGUAGAGGUGAAAUUCGUAGAUAUCGGGAGGAACACCGGUGGCGAAGGCGGCGACCUGGGUAGAUACUGACGCUGAGGUGCGAAAGCGUGGGGAGCAAACAGG
rnacentral:rRNA from 1 species